GGAAGGGUGUGUGAGUGGCUUAAACAAACGGCUUGGAAAGCCGUGCUUCGAAAGAGGCUCGUGGGUUCGAAUCCCACCCCUUCCGCCA
rnacentral:tRNA from 2 species